CCUGCGGAAGAGGGUGUUACUGUGACGAGUACUGUGUGACAGCGGGUGACUGCUGUCCUGACUAUAAUCCAACCUGUAAACAAUCAAACAGUACAACACUUGCACCACUUAAUGUGACCACAACCUCAGGAUCCAGUCUUUCUUCAACAUUUUCUCCCACCUCUAGUAAUUCAGCUAUAGCGAUUGCUCACCUAAAAGUGUCCUUACUAUCUAAUUUUGAAACCAAAGAACGAGCGAUAUCAGAAAUUUCAUCACUUCUUCAGAGACUCGUGCAGCAGAGAUGUACUGGCUGUGCUGUGACGGUAAAGCCCGUGUGAGGCUUUGGACAAUGAAAGCAUGAAUUAGAAUGAAGCAACACGGUGAUGACAGACUCCAACACUCACAAUAAAAUCUAAUUAAACCAGUAAAGUUAACUGACUGUUUCAGAAUGAAUAAAGUGACAGACACUUUUUCUCAACUAGUAGUAUAUGCAUGUUUCUAAGUUCUUAUAAUCUUAAUUUAAGGAUGUAUUACACAGUUAUGAAUCUUUACCAUAUAUAGAGAUAAAAAGUUUUUUUAGGUGGAGGUACAAGAUUUUUUUUUUAAAUAAAGUUUAAUAAUGGAAUAAUUUUAUUUUUUUUAAAAAGAAAAAAAUUCUGACAAUCAUUUGACAGAAGAAUAACUCACCAUACAAAUCCAGUCUGCUCUGGUCAAGGAAGGAGACACACUGCCAAACAUGUUUGCAUUAGCCUACUGUAUUUUUUUCUGUGUUAUAUUAAGUUGUGGAAGUUGAGCGGCUGCAAUAAAAUUAUAACGCAUAAUUUAAAAUGUAAUAUUAGCAGUGCAGUUAGAAUUUUCCAGAUGAUAUGUGCUGUAAUUACAUUAAAGUAACUAACAUGUUAUA